rnacentral:rRNA from 1 species
GUGGGGAAUUUUGGACAAUGGGCGCAAGCCUGAUCCAGCAAUGCCGCGUGCAGGAAGAAGGCCUUCGGGUUGUAAACUGCUUUUGUACGGAACGAAACGGUCCUGGCUAAUAUCCGGGGCUAAUGACGGUACCGUAAGAAUAAGCACCGGCUAACUACGUGCCAGCAGCCGCGGUAAUACGUAGGGUGCGAGCGUUAAUCGGAAUUACUGGGCGUAAAGCGUGCGCAGGCGGUGCUGUAAGACAGGCGUGAAAUCCCCGGGCUCAACCUGGGAAUUGCGCUUGUGACUGCAGGGCUGGAGUGCGGCAGAGGGGGAUGGAAUUCCGCGUGUAGCAGUGAAAUGCGUAGAUAUGCGGAGGAACACCGAUGGCGAAGGCAAUCCCCUGGGCCUGCACUGACGCUCAUGCACGAAAGCGUGGGGAGCAAACAGGAUUAGAAACCCGAGUAGUCC